rnacentral:rRNA from 1 species
UACGGGGGGGGCAAGCGUUGUUCGGAAUUACUGGGCGUAAAGGGCUCGUAGGCGGCCAACUAAGUCAGACGUGAAAUCCCUCGGCUUAACCGGGGAACUGCGUCUGAUACUGGAUGGCUUGAGUUCGGGAGAGGGAUGCGGAAUUCCCGGUGUAGUGGUGAAAUGCGUAGAUAUCGGGAAGAACAUCGGUGGCGAAAGCGCUCUACUGGACCGCAACUGACACUCAGGGACGAAAGCUAGGGGAGCGAAUGGG